rnacentral:misc_RNA from 1 species
GAAAAUUCUUCACAUCGAUAAUAAAUUGCAACGAAAAGGACAGAAAGAUUACAAAAGGAUCUCUUUUUUCAUUUUCAUUUAUACCCAAGUAAAUUCAUGUCAGUAAAGAAAACAAAAUUACAGAAAAGCAAAAGGGAAAGAAAAAAAAAGAACCAAAGACCAUGAGCAAGAAAGAAAAGAACUUCAGUUAGCACGGUCAGCUCCUGUCAAAUGCUGGAAUCAGUCCCACCAACACAUCAUUUCCCAUCUCAUCUCUCUCUUCAACUAAAAAAGUUCAAGACCCACCAAUCUCUGCAUGCAUAUGCUCCUUCCUCCUCCACCACCACCACCACUAGCCCAACAACCUCUAAGAUUGUAUUGAAAUUAAUACUUGGUUUCUGGAAUAUCAUUUACAUUCUACUUCUAGCUUUGUAAAAAUAAUGCAUGAACCUUGGUUUCUCAUUUUUAAAGUUCUGUUACGUACGCAUAUUCCUGAUAUAGAUUGUAUUUGUACAAGGGUCAAUAAUUAUCAUUGCUAAUUAUUAAUUAAUGUGUGUUAAUCAUAGAAAGGAAGAUUUACUUGAAUCUGUCUUGCCUAGAUAGCCCUAGCUGCUUGUAGGGUUUGUUAGUACCCUGAGCAACUUGCUUAUCGUCAUGUCUGCAUUGCAAUUUCCAGGAACAAUGAUCCCUAAAACUCUAGGCAGUUUGUCUCAGUCUUGGCUUAGGAAGUUGCACAAACCUGUGAUGCAGGGAGCUGUAUUAUAAUAGAAUUGAUCUCUAUCAGCACUCGUUUAAUUUAGCGGAACUCUAAUGCAAGAGCUAUUUAUCAAUACUAGUUGAAUGACAAUAGAUAAUUAACAUUAAUAUUCUGCUUUGUUAUAUAUACAUGUUUUUGUGUUCUCUAAGAGAUAAAAGCUAAGAAUGUCCCUCACGAGAAACUCUUGUUUAAACCUGAUUUAUCAUGAAUUCAAAAUACAGGAAAAUUCAUUUAUAAAAUCGAUAAUUAUAUUUGGUAACAUUUAAAUGAGCUACUUUUGAAUUUAAACAAAUAAAGUUCAAUCUUCCUUAAACACCUACUAAAACAAUUUGUAUAUUAUAACUAUUGGAUUAGUCUAUCUCUCUUUUUAACUGGGGGAGAUUUGAAAUGGGGGAAUGAAGUUAAAAGAGGGAGAUGACUAAUAUAAAAAAAGAAAUUUUAGAGAGGAAUUGAAUUUCUAAGGCCCAAAUAUAUGGAUAAAAGUCAAUUCUCAAUAAUAAAAUUGUCACGACCCAACCUAUGGGC